CACUAUCGUUAACUGAAUACAUAGGUUAACGAGGCGAACCGGGGGAACUGAAACAUCUAAGUACCCCGAGGAAAAGAAAUCAACCGAGAUUCCCCCAGUAGCGGCGAGCGAACGGGGAGCAGCCCAGAGUCUGAAUCAGCUUGUGUGUUAGUGGAACGGUCUGGAAAGUCCGACGGUACAGGGUGAUAGUCCCGUACACCAAAAUGCACAGGUUGUGAACUCGAAGAGUAGGGCGGGACACGUGGUAUCCUGUCUGAAUAUGGGGGGACCAUCCUCCAAGGCUAAAUACUCCUGACUGACCGAUAGUGAACCAGUACCGUGAGGGAAAGGCGAAAAGAACCCCGGCGAGGGGAGUGAAAAAGAACCUGAAACCGUGUACGUACAAGCAGUGGGAGCACCUUCGGGUGUGACUGCGUACCUUUUGUAUAAUGGGUCAGCGACUUAUAUUCUGUAGCAAGGUUAACCGUAUAGGGGAGCCGCAGGGAAACCGAGUCUUAACUGGGCGUUAAGUUGCAGGGUAUAGACCCGAAACCCGGUGAUCUAGCCAUGGGCAGGUUGAAGGUUGGGUAACACUAACUGGAGGACCGAACCGACUAAUGUUGAAAAAUUAGCGGAUGACUUGUGGCUGGGGGUGAAAGGCCAAUCAAACCGGGAGAUAGCUGGUUCUCCCCGAAAGCUAUUUAGGUAGCGCCUCGUGAACUCAUCUUCGGGGGUAGAGCACUGUUUCGGCUAGGGGGUCAUCCCGACUUACCAACCCGAUGCAAACUACGAAUACCGAAGAAUGUUAUCACGGGAGACACACGGCGGGUGCUAACGUCCGUCGUGAAGAGGGAAACAACCCAGACCGCCAGCUAAGGUCCCAAAGUCAUGGUUAAGUGGGAAACGAUGUGGGAAGGCACAGACAGCCAGGAUGUUGGCUUAGAAGCAGCCAUCAUUUAAAGAAAGCGUAAUAGCUCACUGGUCGAGUCGGCCUGCGCGGAAGAUGUAACGGGGCUAAACCAUGCACCGAAGCUGCGGCAGCGACACUAUGUGUUGUUGGGUAGGGGAGCGUUCUGUAAGCCUGCGAAGGUGACCUGUGAGGGUUGCUGGAGGUAUCAGAAGUGCGAAUGCUGACAUAAGUAACGAUAAAGCGGGUGAAAAGCCCGCUCGCCGGAAGACCAAGGGUUCCUGUCCAACGUUAAUCGGGGCAGGGUGAGUCGACCCCUAAGGCGAGGCCGAAAGGCGUAGUCGAUGGGAAACAGGUUAAUAUUCCUGUACUUGGUGUUACUGCGAAGGGGGGACGGAGAAGGCUAUGUUAGCCGGGCGACGGUUGUCCCGGUUUAAGCAUGUAGGCUGAUUAUCCAGGCAAAUCCGGAUAAUCAAGGCUGAGGUGUGAUGACGAGGCACUACGGUGCUGAAGUAACAAAUGCCCUGCUUCCAGGAAAAGCCUCUAAGCAUCAGGUAACAUCAAAUCGUACCCCAAACCGACACAGGUGGUCAGGUAGAGAAUACCAAGGCGCUUGAGAGAACUCGGGUGAAGGAACUAGGCAAAAUGGUGCCGUAACUUCGGGAGAAGGCACGCUGGUGUGUAGGUGAAGUCCCUGCGGAUGGAGCUGAGACCAGUCGAAGAUACCAGCUGGCUGCAACUGUUUAUUAAAAACACAGCACUGUGCAAACACGAAAGUGGACGUAUACGGUGUGACGCCUGCCCGGUGCCGGAAGGUUAAUUGAUGGGGUUAUCCGUAAGGAGAAGCUCUUGAUCGAAGCCCCGGUAAACGGCGGCCGUAACUAUAACGGUCCUAAGGUAGCGAAAUUCCUUGUCGGGUAAGUUCCGACCUGCACGAAUGGCGUAAUGAUGGCCAGGCUGUCUCCACCCGAGACUCAGUGAAAUUGAACUCGCUGUGAAGAUGCAGUGUACCCGCGGCAAGACGGAAAGACCCCGUGAACCUUUACUAUAGCUUGACACUGAACAUUGAGCCUUGAUGUGUAGGAUAGGUGGGAGGCUUUGAAGCGUGGACGCCAGUCUGCGUGGAGCCAACCUUGAAAUACCACCCUUUAAUGUUUGAUGUUCUAACGUUGGCCCCUGACCGGGGUUGCGGACAGUGUCUGGUGGGUAGUUUGACUGGGGCGGUCUCCUCCCAAAGCGUAACGGAGGAGCACGAAGGUUAGCUAAUCCUGGUCGGACAUCAGGAGGUUAGUGCAAUGGCAUAAGCUAGCUUGACUGCGAGCGUGACGGCGCGAGCAGGUGCGAAAGCAGGUCAUAGUGAUCCGGUGGUUCUGAAUGGAAGGGCCAUCGCUCAACGGAUAAAAGGUACUCCGGGGAUAACAGGCUGAUACCGCCCAAGAGUUCAUAUCGACGGCGGUGUUUGGCACCUCGAUGUCGGCUCAUCACAUCCUGGGGCUGAAGUAGGUCCCAAGGGUAUGGCUGUUCGCCAUUUAAAGUGGUACGCGAGCUGGGUUUAGAACGUCGUGAGACAGUUCGGUCCCUAUCUGCCGUGGGCGCUGGAGAAUUGAGGGGGGCUGCUCCUAGUACGAGAGGACCGGAGUGGACGCAUCACUGGUGUUCGGGUUGUCAUGCCAAUGGCACUGCCCGGUAGCUAAAUGCGGAAGAGAUAAGUGCUGAAAGCAUCUAAGCACGAAACUUGCCCCGAGAUGAGUUCUCCCUGAGACUUUAAGUCUCCUGAAGGAACGUUAAAGACGAUGACGUUGAUAGGCCGGGUGUGUAAGCGCAGCGAUGCGUUGAGCUAACCGGUACUAAUGAACCGUGAGGCUUAACCUU
rnacentral:rRNA from 1 species